UUAAGCGACUAAGCGUACACGGUGGAUGCCCUGGCAGUCAGAGGCGAUGAAGGACGUGCUAAUCUGCGAUAAGCGUCGGUGAGGUGAUAUGAACCGUUAUAACCGGCGAUUUCCGAAUGGGGAAACCCAGUGUGUUUCGACACACUAUCAUUAACUGAAUCCAUAGGUUAAUGAGGCGAACCGGGGGAACUGAAACAUCUAAGUACCCCGAGGAAAAGAAAUCAACCGAGAUUCCCCCAGUAGCGGCGAGCGAACGGGGAGGAGCCCAGAGCCUGAAUCAGUGUGUGUGUUAGUGGAAGCGUCUGGAAAGGCGUGCGAUACAGGGUGACAGCCCCGUACACAAAAAUGCACAUAUUGUGAGCUCGAUGAGUAGGGCGGGACACGUGGUAUCCUGUCUGAAUAUGGGGGGACCAUCCUCCAAGGCUAAAUACUCCUGACUGACCGAUAGUGAACCAGUACCGUGAGGGAAAGGCGAAAAGAACCCCGGCGAGGGGAGUGAAAAAGAACCUGAAACCGUGUACGUACAAGCAGUGGGAGCCUCUUAAUGGGGUGACUGCGUACCUUUUGUAUAAUGGGUCAGCGACUUAUAUUCUGUAGCAAGGUUAACCGAAUAGGGGAGCCGAAGGGAAACCGAGUCUUAACUGGGCGUUAAGUUGCAGGGUAUAGACCCGAAACCCGGUGAUCUAGCCAUGGGCAGGUUGAAGGUUGGGUAACACUAACUGGAGGACCGAACCGACUAAUGUUGAAAAAUUAGCGGAUGACUUGUGGCUGGGGGUGAAAGGCCAAUCAAACCGGGAGAUAGCUGGUUCUCCCCGAAAGCUAUUUAGGUAGCGCCUCGUGAAUUCAUCUCCGGGGGUAGAGCACUGUUUCGGCAAGGGGGUCAUCCCGACUUACCAACCCGAUGCAAACUGCGAAUACCGGAGAAUGUUAUCACGGGAGACACACGGCGGGUGCUAACGUCCGUCGUGAAGAGGGAAACAACCCAGACCGCCAGCUAAGGUCCCAAAGUCAUGGUUAAGUGGGAAACGAUGUGGGAAGGCCCAGACAGCCAGGAUGUUGGCUUAGAAGCAGCCAUCAUUUAAAGAAAGCGUAAUAGCUCACUGGUCGAGUCGGCCUGCGCGGAAGAUGUAACGGGGCUAAACCAUGCACCGAAGCUGCGGCAGCGACACUAUGUGUUGUUGGGUAGGGGAGCGUUCUGUAAGCCUGUGAAGGUGGCCUGUGAGGGUUGCUGGAGGUAUCAGAAGUGCGAAUGCUGACAUAAGUAACGAUAAAGCGGGUGAAAAGCCCGCUCGCCGGAAGACCAAGGGUUCCUGUCCAACGUUAAUCGGGGCAGGGUGAGUCGACCCCUAAGGCGAGGCCGAAAGGCGUAGUCGAUGGGAAACAGGUUAAUAUUCCUGUACUUGGUGUUACUGCGAAGGGGGGACGGAGAAGGCUAUGUUGGCCGGGCGACGGUUGUCCCGGUUUAAGCGUGUAGGCUGGUUUUCCAGGCAAAUCCGGAAAACCAAGGCUGAGGCGUGAUGACGAGGCACUACGGUGCUGAAGCGACAAAUGCCCUGCUUCCAGGAAAAGCCUCUAAGCAUCAGGUAACAUCAAAUCGUACCCAAAACCGACACAGGUGGUCAGGUAGAGAAUACCAAGGCGCUUGAGAGAACUCGGGUGAAGGAACUAGGCAAAAUGGUGCCGUAACUUCGGGAGAAGGCACGCUGAUAUGUAGGUGAAGCGACUUGCUCGUGGAGCUGAAAUCAGUCGAAGAUACCAGCUGGCUGCAACUGUUUAUUAAAAACACAGCACUGUGCAAACACGAAAGUGGACGUAUACGGUGUGACGCCUGCCCGGUGCCGGAAGGUUAAUUGAUGGGGUUAGCGGUAACGCGAAGCUCUUGAUCGAAGCCCCGGUAAACGGCGGCCGUAACUAUAACGGUCCUAAGGUAGCGAAAUUCCUUGUCGGGUAAGUUCCGACCUGCACGAAUGGCGUAAUGAUGGCCAGGCUGUCUCCACCCGAGACUCAGUGAAAUUGAACUCGCUGUGAAGAUGCAGUGUACCCGCGGCAAGACGGAAAGACCCCGUGAACCUUUACUAUAGCUUGACACUGAACAUUGAGCCUUGAUGUGUAGGAUAGGUGGGAGGCUUUGAAGUGUGGACGCCAGUCUGCAUGGAGCCGACCUUGAAAUACCACCCUUUAAUGUUUGAUGUUCUAACGUUGGCCCGUAAUCCGGGUUGCGGACAGUGUCUGGUGGGUAGUUUGACUGGGGCGGUCUCCUCCUAAAGAGUAACGGAGGAGCACGAAGGUUGGCUAAUCCUGGUCGGACAUCAGGAGGUUAGUGCAAUGGCAUAAGCCAGCUUGACUGCGAGCGUGACGGCGCGAGCAGGUGCGAAAGCAGGUCAUAGUGAUCCGGUGGUUCUGAAUGGAAGGGCCAUCGCUCAACGGAUAAAAGGUACUCCGGGGAUAACAGGCUGAUACCGCCCAAGAGUUCAUAUCGACGGCGGUGUUUGGCACCUCGAUGUCGGCUCAUCACAUCCUGGGGCUGAAGUAGGUCCCAAGGGUAUGGCUGUUCGCCAUUUAAAGUGGUACGCGAGCUGGGUUUAGAACGUCGUGAGACAGUUCGGUCCCUAUCUGCCGUGGGCGCUGGAGAACUGAGGGGGGCUGCUCCUAGUACGAGAGGACCGGAGUGGACGCAUCACUGGUGUUCGGGUUGUCAUGCCAAUGGCACUGCCCGGUAGCUAAAUGCGGAAGAGAUAAGUGCUGAAAGCAUCUAAGCACGAAACUUGCCCCGAGAUGAGUUCUCCCUGACUCCUUGAGGGUCCUGAAGGAACGUUGAAGACGACGACGUUGAUAGGCCGGGUGUGUAAGCGCAGCGAUGCGUUGAGCUAACCGGUACUAAUGAACCGUGAGGCUUAACCUU
rnacentral:rRNA from 55 species